GCAUAUCAAUAAGCGGAGGAAAAGAAACUAACAAGGAUUCCCCUAGUAACUGCGAGUGAAGCGGGAUGAGCUCAAAUUUAAAAUCUGGCGGUCUUUGGCCGUCCGAGUUGUAGUCUGGAGAAGUGCUUUCCGUGCCGGACCGUGUACAAGUCUCUUGGAACAGAGCGUCAUAGAGGGUGAGAAUCCCGUCUUUGACACGGACUACCGGUGCUUUGUGAUGCGCUCUCGAAGAGUCGAGUUGUUUGGGAAUGCAGCUCAAAAUGGGUGGUGAAUUCCAUCUAAAGCUAAAUAUUGGCGAGAGACCGAUAGCGAACAAGUACCGUGAGGGAAAGAUGAAAAGCACUUUGGAAAGAGAGUUAAACAGUACGUGAAAUUGCUGAAAGGGAAACGCUUGAAGUCAGUCGCGUCGUCCGGAACUCAGCCUUGCUUUUGCUUGGUGCACUUUCCGGUUGACGGGCCAGCAUCGAUUUUGACCGUCGGAGAAUGGCUUGAGGAAUGUGGCACCCUCGGGUGUGUUAUAGCCUCUUGUCGCAUGCGACGGUCGGGAUCGAGGUUCGCAGCGCGCCUUUAUGGUCGGGGGUUCGCCUCACGUUCGCGCUUAGGAUGCUGGCGUAAUGGCUUUAAACGACCCGUCUUGAAACACGGACCAAGGAGUCUAACAUGCCUGCGAGUGUUUGGGUGGAAAACCCGAGCGCGUAAUGAAAGUGAAAGUCGAGACCUCUGUCGUGGAGGGCAUCGACGCCCGGCGCUGACGUUUUCUGAGGCUGCCGCGGUAGAGCAUGUAUGUUGGGACCCGAAAGAUGGUGAACUAUGCCUGAAUAGGGUGAAGCCAGAGGAAACUCUGGUGGAGGCUCGUAGCGAUUCUGACGUGCAAAUCGAUCGUCAAAUUUGGGUAUAGGGGCGAAAGACUAAUCGAACCAUCUAGUAGCUGGUCUGC
rnacentral:rRNA from 1 species